UGAUCUGUUUAAUGUCUAGGAACACAGACCACGGGUCUUAGAGACCAAAGGAUUUUACUCUGGAAAGCAGUGCCUUUGGAAGGGUGACUAGGCUCACAGAGAGAAGUCCAAACCCCAGGAAUUCCCAGGGCAAUGCCUUGGGCAAAGGGGCUCUCAGCACCCCCGACCUGGAGCAGGCUGCAGGAGCUGUCACCGUGUCACAUCCACCCCAGCACAGCAAGUGCAGCUUUGUUGACUCCCCCUCAGGAAGGCUGUUGAUAAACAGAAGAGCACUCAGGAAACAGCUGCAAGAAAGAUGAAGGGGCUGGGAGUGAUGUUUGAUAACAGCAGAUUCAAGAAGCACACGUGGCUUCAGAUUUUCAGGCCAAGGGCUGAUUUGCACAGGGGUUUGUGCAUGUACAUAGGAAAACUAAUUCAGUUGUUACAGUUCCCUGUGAGACCAAACUGCAAAAAACCCCUGACCAGCUGGAUGCAAACAAACAAGGUGCAUGUUUAUUAGUAACAAGGAUAAUUAGCUGGAGCAAUUCACCAGCAAUUGUAGCAGUUCUACUUUACCAAAAAUUAUUCAAGUUCGAUAUUUUUCUAAAACCUGUUCAAAUGGGAACUAAUUUACAGAAAUCUAAACCACACAGACUAUCAGAUUAAACUGCCAGAAAAGGUCUCAUCUGCCCUGAUAGUCUGUUUUUAAAUAUAGUCAAAUUGAGAUGUAUACACACACACAUAUACAUAUAUAUAUAUAAUAAGAAUAAAUCUUAGGGCGAGCAUUUCUGUUUGUUCUAAUGCUUUUUUCUUUCUGAGCAAGUGCAAAGACAGGAAAAAAAGGCUUUAACUGCAGUGGCAAGUGGUGCUACUGAAGAGCCUAAAUGCCAACUGUUCUUAUCACUUCUCUAUUUCUGUGCUCAUUGCUGCAAAACAUAAUGAACCACAAUUGAUACGUGGCAAGAGGGCAAGGUUUGUAAGCUUUGCUAAAUAACACAGAAUUACAAAGUCAGAACAAAGCUAGAGGGCAUCGCUUAAGCGCUUAAUUCUCAAGAAUAGAACGAAUUUCUCGGGAUUGCUCUUCCCAACUAGCUCGUUUUAGCACCUCAUUCUCAGAUGCCCCUCAGCAUAGCUGCUGCUCAUUUGAGCUCCCCCUGAAAUGUAACCCUGCAGUGUAACCUGCAGCAAGACCGAUCACACAACCCUGCAAGGUAAAAGGAACAAAGUAGUUCUAUGUCUGCACCUGUAACACUGGAAACUGCCACUCUCCUGCUGCUCAGGAACAUCUGCCUGGACACCUGCAAGAGUCCUGCUGCCCUUUGAAGCCCCAGAUCCCAGGCACGGGGUCGUGCAGAUCAGUUCUGACAGAUCAGUUCCUGCUCCAUCCCAGUUCACUGCUGAGAUCACUGGCAGACAACUUCACUGCAGAGAGGGCUGGGCUGGAUAUUGGACAAACCCACUCCAGCAGGAAGAAUAUUGCAAGGUCUCCAACCUGCACCACUUCCUAAAAUGACUCAAGCAGCAAUAGUCACACAGAUGUAUCCUAUGGCUUAUUUGACAAAUCCCACACAUUCAUCAGCAUCACUGUAAAGAACAUUAAAAAUAAACCUUUUGCAAGUGAGGUCCAUGCCUUGCAAUAGAGGUUCUGGUUCAAUGCAACUGUAACUCAGGUUUUCCUGCCAUUCACAAGCUGCACAAACUGCCACCAGCAGUUCCUUUAAUUGAAUUAGGGCCAGGUUGCAGAAUCAGGAAACGUGUUCUCUGCUCUGAGGGGAUGGUGGUGCAGCACAUGUUCUACCAGAGUACAGACAUUCAACACUGGGUCACAGGCAGGUCUGAAAGCAUUGUAGCAAAAUGUGUAUUGGCCAGAAAGUUUCCAAGUUAUCACAAAAAGAGAGGUGAGUGGCCUUUGGUAAACACUGGUGGAGAUAACCAGACUCCACCUGAAUGCUGCCCCUAAAAUAAUAGUUCAGUUUCCUGCCACCUACAACAAAAUUAUUAUCUCCUGAUGGCACCUGGUGCCUUUAAUGUCAACUAGCUUGGGUGUAUCUCCUUAAAACAUGACUUUGGAAAGGCCCUCCAGACCUCCAUUUUCUAAAAUAAGCUUCUUCUCCCCCAGCAGCUCCAAUUUGGAGACUCUUUUAAAGCUUCCCUGUUCUGAGAGUUAUAAAUUUUUAUCUUGUUUCCAGACCAAGGUCAUGCCUGGCCCAGCCAUACCCUUUUGCUCUUUGACUAAUGCUGUCCUUAGGCUUAAAUAUGUUUCUCAUCCUGUUGUUCAUUCCUGCAGUGUAUUUAUAGAUAGCAGAACUCUUUCCUUCUCUCAUCAGAUGAGUUCCUGAGGAGACUGGGAAAUGGAUAAACUUUUACUGCACUUGUUUCAGAGCUAAGAACCUGCAAAACUGGAAUGCUGGAGUGGAGAGUCCUGUACUCAGGUAAGAUCCUGGCAAUAACUGUACAACAGCUGACAAAGAAAUUCCAGACCUUUUCCAUAUUCAAGUAUGUUGGUUCCCCUAAUCAGUUCUCCCUUUGAAACAGAAAAUCUGACUCACAAACCUACUUUUGUUUAUCCUUUCAGUUAAUUUAAAUAAAAUCAAUCUAUGAUCACCCCAGCCAGCAGAAUGUUUUUCAGCAACCUCUUUACCAUAUCAUUAACACUUGGAAGGAUCAUUUUUGAAGUCAUAUCAUCCCUUGUUGAUUCAGGCAUAUUUUGAUGAGGAAAAUCCAUUAGAUAUUAUAUCCAGGGCUAUCUGACCUCCCAUUGAUGAGCAUUUCCUCUCCAGUCUAUUAUCUGAGAGGUUUGUCUUUGUGUGAUAGUCCCCAGUAAUAUAUGGCUCCCUAAUAAGACCACAGAGAUGUUAUGCAGAUAUAAUUCUAAUUAAAGAGAGAAGCAGAACCUUUCAUCCAUGCUGGCCCUCCUGGUUCCUUAACCCCUGCCUUGUCCUGAGCACAAGGCAGAAAGGGGAGCAGUUGCCAUGCUUGGACUUUUCAUAAUGCAAAUAGAUUUCAGAGAAAUAAUUUACACAACAUUCAGGUUGCAGAGAAGAUUAAGAAGUUUGAAACUGCCCCACAGAGUCAACCUUUUAUGCUGGAAUAAACAAUACAGUGCCUGCCUUUAGUUCUGUUUGCAUGAGUGUUAGACUGUGCCCCAGCCAGAAGGGAAAAGCUGGGAAAGCUGAUUUAAUCAUCACUGUUGAUCCAUCCACUUUCUACCACUGUGAAAAAUAGGCUCAGUGAUACCCUUGAAUCUAAAUUUUCAGCUUUUGCUUAUAAAAGCAAAACCAAGGCCUUGGAAAUAUUACUGUUGAACAAAGCUGCCACAUCUUUCUCUCUGAAGAAACCACAACCUGUUGAACUGCAAAGUCCUUCACAAUACACAAGCCACAGCACUUUUAUCCCCACAAAGCAGCUGGCCCUUGAUACCACAUGAAUGUGCUGUGGGUUUUCUUCUCCAUACAAAUAUUUUUAGCGUGUGGAUUUUCCCUGAUUUUUGGUGGACUGAACUCCCUGAGGAAUGGGUGUUGGAAUGCAGUGAACUUUCUCACAUCUGAGCACCAUGGGAAUAGCCCUGCCCUCCACAUCCAGCCCAUGGAGGAGCGUGCCAUAAAAACAACAUCCCUAAGUAACUGACUUCUUAAAUUGCAGCUUUCCUCCCAAGCCCUUGGAAACAUCCUCCUCCCACUCUGAUUUCCAGCUUGUUUGGGUCUCACAGGUAAGAGCUGAUUUGCUUUUGUCAGUUAUCACCAAGAGGGUGAGGAAAAACUAGUUUUAGAGGAAGCAAACCCCGAGCUGACUCCAGGCCAUAAGAAUGCCCUGCUCUGUGUAACCGGCUCACUGGGGAGGUGUGGUUCUGGCACAGCAUCAGCAAAAAUUAUACCAGACAGAUAAAAGCAGCUCUGACAGAUUCCAUGGCUGUCCCUGGACAAGCCACUUCACUCCUCUCUUCCUCCAUUCAGUAGUCACCCAGUAAAAGUAAAGUGUCCUCAAAGAGAUAAGAGGCACCAGUUUGGUGGAAACAUGGCCAAAAAAUGAGGCCAAACGAGUGCAAGGCUUUGCACAGGUAAGCCUAUGGAAGGCUUGCUUGUUCACAGGCAACUUAAAGAAUAAUAUUACUAUCCAGAAGGAGAGAGAAUUCUCUCUGAACCAGCUCCCCACAGGCUGCUGCCCACCACUUGUGACAUGAGCUUGGACAAAGCACAGAACCCACAGGCUUCUUGCUGCCAGCCCCUGCUCCUCACACCUCGACACUCCUUAGUCGAGGCCUUUCACAUCAAUAGCUUCACUUCUAUUUUUCUGUAUUAUUUUUUCACCAUUAUUUCUCUGUUAGGGGGCAGGCAGGGUCUGCACAGUGGUGAGGACCCGACUCCCUGACCUUUGGGUGCGGGAUGCUGCUCGUGGCCCCACAGGGACACGCUCUGCUGUGUGGGGAGGCUUUUGUUUCCAAGCACUGGGAGCGAGUCCGAGCAAGCCGCUCGCAUGGGACUUGUUGCAAGGACCAAACAUUCUCCAGCUGCAGAUUUACACGCAGGAGCAGAGAAGUAGCCAGGAGUUCUAGUUAAAGUAUUUGGAUGUUUGAUAAAAGAAAGUGCAGGAGAGUCACAGGACGUCACAAACUUCCUCCCAGGAAGCGAUCCCCGAGAGCGGCUCCGGUCCCACUGAGGGUGUCACCGUCCUGGCAGCGGAGGAAGGCGCAGGGUCCCGCCCCGUGGGCGUUCGGGGUAGAACAACCCCAGGAGCACAAACAUUUCUGUCAUUGCGGCGUUUUUACCUCGCUGAGCAGUCUGGUAGCACUUCCAGAUUCUUCACACCGCCGGGAGGCAUCCAGCUAAUUUUCCAUGCUCCUGCCGUAGCCGAGCUCCCGCCGCAAGCCUGGAAGCGGAGCUAGACUGCAGCGGGGCCGUGCUGCCCCGGGUUAAACGUGCUCCUCACACCUCCCGUCUGCACGGUACCAGAAAGCACCAGAACGGGCUCCCCUUUCCUGGCGGCAGCAGGACUUCAGCAGAGCUUGCAAAACACUUUGCAAGUCGCUGAUGGCAGGUGCAAUAGAAACAUUAUUUACCA